rnacentral:rRNA from 1 species
GAUGAACGCUGGCGGCGUGCCUAAUACAUGCAAGUCGAGCGAACAGACGAGGAGCUUGCUCCUCUGACGUUAGCGGCGGACGGGUGAGUAACACGUGGAUAACCUACCUAUAAGACUGGGAUAACUUCGGGAAACCGGAGCUAAUACCGGAUAAUAUAUUGAACCGCAUGGUUCAAUAGUGAAAGACGGUUUUGCUGUCACUUAUAGAUGGAUCCGCGCCGCAUUAGCUAGUUGGUAAGGUAACGGCUUACCAAGGCAAGGAUGCGUAGCCGACCUGAGAGGGUGAUCGGCCACACUGGAACGGAGACACGGUCCAGACUCCUACGGGAGGCAGCAGUAGGGAAUCUUCCGCAAUGGUCGAAAGCCUGACGGAGCAACGCCGCGUGAGUGAUGAAGGUCUUCGGAUCGUAAAACUCUGUUAUUAGGGAAGAACAAAUGUGUAAGUAACUAUGCACGUCUUGACGGUACCUAAUCAGAAAGCCACGGCUAACUACGUG